GGGAGUUGUAGUUCAGCAACAUCUGGGGGGCCGGAGUUUGAGGACCCAUGCUCUAGUGGCUGUCUGGUAGACAGCCACCAGAGAUGGUUUUUAAUCCACAAAGAUAAUUAUUGCAGUUUCUUAAAAACAGGGUUAAGGGACCUGGGAUACUGCACCCAGAUUACGUAGUUGAGCUGAAGGGUCUGGGUGCCUAUUGUGUCCCUCUAAG